GAUGAAGAACGCAGCGAAGUGCGAUAAGUAGUGUGAAUUGCAGAAUUCCGUGAAUCAUCGAAUCUUUGAACGCAAAUUGCACUCCCUGGCAUUCCGGGGAGUAUGCCUGUUUGAGGGUCAGUAUACAUAAAAUCGGAAUGUCGCUUUUUUUGUUGCAUUUCGGAAUUUGGGUCAUCUUAACCCCCCGGGUUUAAGAGGCCUGAAAUUGACGUUUUUUUGUCAUCCUGGACGUGUAUAAAAUUUCUUAACCGUUUCGGGUGUCAAGUACUCUAUUAGGUACGAUCACGUCGUGUGACUUCGUGCCCAUAAUUUCGUUGAAUGACCUCAAAUCAGGUAGGGACACCCGCUGAACUUAAGCAUAUCAAUAAGCGGAGGA
rnacentral:misc_RNA from 1 species